GGGGCGGUGGCGAAAUGGCAGACUCAGCGGACUUAAAAUCCGCCGGGGGAGACUCCGUGUGGGUUCGAAUCCCACCCGCCCUACCA
rnacentral:tRNA from 1 species